CUCACCGGAAGUGGAAGCAGCACUGGACGAUGGUGGAAGAGCUGCUGCUGCUGUUGUGGCAGAUAAUAAUCAAGUGCCUAUUAAAGUGUAAAGGUUAACCUUUGAAGCUUGUAAGCUAGAAAAGUGAAUUGUGAAUUAUGCUUAUUCACCUAUCGUAUUUUAAAUUUGGAGUUAUAAAUCGAAAACCCCGUCUUUCCUUAACCUUUCCUGGCAGUUAAGUAAGAAGUACCUUAACCGAGCGUUAAGCAACUGGAUCAAAUGUCUCUAACUUUUUUUAUUGCAAAAACUUAACAUUUAAUAAAG